UGAACACUUGUGCUUGUUUUGGCAGCACAGAUACAGAGAAGAUUGGCAUGGCCCCUCCGCCGGGAUGACACACAAAUUCAUGAAGCAUUCCGUAUUUUU
rnacentral:snRNA from 1 species